rnacentral:rRNA from 1 species
GAUGAACGCUGGCGGCGUGCCUAAUACAUGCAAGUCGAGCGAACAGAUGAGGAGCUUGCUCCUCUGACGUUAGCGGCGGACGGGUGAGUAACACGUGGAUAACCUACCUAUAAGACUGGGAUAACUUCGGGAAACCGGAGCUAAUACCGGAUAAUAUAUUGAACCGCAUGGUUCAAUAGUGAAAGACGGUUUUGCUGUCACUUAUAGAUGGAUCCGCGCCGCAUUAGCUAGUUGGUAAGGUAACGGCUUACCAAGGCAACGAUGCGUAGCCGACCUGAGAGGGUGAUCGGCCACACUGGAACUGAGACACGGUCCAGACUCCUACGGGAGGCAGCGGUAGGGAAUCUUCCGCAAUGGGCGAAAGCCUGACGGAGCAACGCCGCGUGAGUGAUGAAGGCCUUCGGAUCGUGAAACUCUGUUAUUAGGGAAGAACAAAUGUGUAAGUAACUAUGCACGUCUUGACGGUACAUAAUCAGAAAGCCACGGCUAACUACGUG